CCCAGGCGACGAUCGGUAGCCGGCCUGAGAGGGUGAUCGGCACAUUGGGACUGAGAUACGGCCCAGACUCCUACGGGAGGCAGCAGUAGGGAAUAUUGCACAAUGGGGGAAACCCUGAUGCAGCAACGCCACGUGUGGGAAGAAGCAUUUCGGUGUGUAAACCACUGUCAUGAGGGAAUAAGGCCCAUCUUCGGAUAGGAUUGAAUGUACCUUGAGAGGAAGCACCGGCAAACUUCGUGCCAGCAGCCGCGGUAAUACGAGGGGUGCAAGCGUUGUUCGGAAUUACUGGGCGUAAAGGGAGCGUAGGCGGAGAUUCAAGCGGAUUGUACAAUCCCGGGGCCCAACCCCGGCUCUGCAGUCCGAACUGGAUUUCUUGGAUAUUUCAGGGGCAGGCA
rnacentral:rRNA from 1 species